AGUUACAAAAACACCUGUACAGGACUAGGGAGCAGAUACAGAUCGACAUUCCUCCAUGCUUCAUGGCCCUGUGUGGUAGAAUUUGGUACAAAGUUUGGACUCGAGAGCUCGUCAUUAUAUGCCAACAAUAUGCUCCAGUCAGUACAUUCAGUUGGCCGCAAGUGACAAAGGCUCAGCGCAUGGUCUUGUACAGAUAAAUUUUUUUUUUUUUAACUUUUAAUAUACUAGCCAAAUAACUGUCCAAUAUUCUAACUGUAUUUCAUAUGCAGAAGGAGUUCAAUAUGGACAUUCUCCAUGCCGACCAUGUAAAAAGAGUGGCCGACAUGCAGCUCCGUAGCAAAUUUAAGACCUAUCGUGCAAAAAUGCGCGAACAUUUUAAGGCAAUGGGUGAUCAGGCAGAAGCGCACCCAUAUGAUAAGAUAUCCCAAGAGGAUUGGGAGGUUGAGUGUCGCCAUUUCUGCGACCCACACUAUCAGGUGAUGUGUUUGUAUUAUAAUAACUACCUUUUCAUAUUGAUGUGGCUAAUAAAGAGUCAUUACAUAUUUUUUGUAGAGUAUAUCUGAAAGAAAUGCUGAGAACCACAACGAACUCCCUAUGAUGCAUUGUGGUGGGUUGAGGUUAUUCAUCAAUCAUUGAAUGCAUGAUCUGGAGACCGGCGCAGAGGAGCCAAUUCUAGAUCUUUAUCAAAGAACACACCAAAGGCGAUUGAGGGAGUGGUGCCAGGGUGCGCAGGGCAAACAUGAGAAGAUGCUCGAGCUGAGGGAUGCACUGGUACCAUUCCAAAGGGGAGUCAGCCAUUGACGGAUUACGAGAUCUCCACUUAGGUGGUGGGGGAACGAGCCGGAGGCUGGGUGAAAGGUCUUGGGAGUGGAUACAUCACCCCAAAAACAUCAUCUUCUACGAGUGCGGCAUCUCAUGCUAAGUUUGAAUGAGCACGUUGAGAUGCAGAGUAUCGAGCGGAUCAGACGGUUCACCGUAUACAGACGAUAGAAAUGGAGAAUCAGCAAUUGAAAGAUACGGUGUCUAGCUAUGGCCUAGAGAACCAACAACUAAAAGAGAAGGUGUCAAACUUUGAAGCCAAGCUGGAGUUCCUUAUAAACAAGCAAGUGCAGCUCAAACAAGUGAUGCACCAAUCUCGUCCAGAUGAUGUAGGUGGCUCCUCCUCUCAUUAGAAGGUAUGUAAAAGGUAGUUUGAGUUUGCAACAUAUUUGCCAUUAUGGGGUUUCGUAGUAGUAAUAUGAAAUCAGUACAUUCUAUAUUCUGAAUUUAAUAUUACUUGGUAUAAUUAGCAUUUAUGUGGGUCUUGGAAAGUAUAAGCCUAUAAGGGAAAAAUGAAGCUCAAAAUACUAGCAAUGCAAAUCAAUAUUUGAAAAUUUCAAGUCUUUUUGAACCUCCUUAUAUUCGUUGCUUCAAAAGUUUGAAAUCCAAGUAAACUAACAAUUUACAGUUUAUAACCUUAUGCAUGUGAAGAAGAUAACACAUUGAAAAAGACUAUUAUUUUAUUUAUUGCAUCCUAGUCACAACUGUUGUGUGUUCAUUGAAUAUCUUGUGAAUAUACUGGAUUGAGUUGAUACUAGUAGUAUAAAUGUCAUCUGUAUGGGUGAUGCAGAUUUGUGUAUUACAUGUUGGUAGUGAACCUAGGAUUCUCGCAUGCCCUUCUAUAUAUAUAUAUGAGAACUCCUUUUCAGGUCAAAUAUUUUUGAGAAAUUGUUCAAAUUACAUUCGGCAUGCGGCUAAAAUUUUGUUAAACCUUUCUCAAAAAUGAAAUCAAAAAUAAUUUUGCUAAAAUUGUUUUUGAAAGGAUGAGUGAAAUUCCUGUAUAGAAUGUUGCAUGCUUGUAAUGACAUACUUGCUAUACACCUCUUAUUCUAACAUAUUGCUAUACACCUCUUAUUCUAACAUAUUGCUAUACUAACAUAUUGUUUUACUUUUGAAAGAAUUUGUGUAUUGUAUGCUGGUAGUGAAUCUAGGAUUCUCGCAUGCCCUUCUAUAUAUAUGAACUCCUUUUCAGGUAAAAUACUUUUGGAAAAUUGUUCAAAUUAUAGUCGGUAUGCUGCCGAAAUUUUUUUAAACCUUUAUAAAAACUGAAAUCAGAAAUGAUUUCGAUAAAAUUGUUUUUGAAAGGAUGAGUGAAAUUUCUUUAUAGAAUGUUGCAUGCUUGUAAUGACAUACUUGCUAUACACCUCUUAUUCUAACAUAUUGUUUUAUUGUUUUACUUUUGAACUUCAUCUCUAAUAAACUAAUGCUAAAGAAAUUGGUAUGUGUUUUCUGUGGUGUAUCUAUGAUAGUUACAAUUAUUUGAGUUUUCGAUUUAAUUUGUUUCUUAUUUUUCAAGUUUCUAUAUGUAUAAGAUGGCCACUCAUCGCCCUACAUUUAAAGCUUUUGUAUGUUUUCUUGAUUGUUUCAUUUUUUGUAUUUUUUCAAUCCAAACAGAUGGAAUUUCUAUAUUUGAAUUUAAAUUUGUAUAA